rnacentral:rRNA from 1 species
AGCCCAGAGCCUGAAUCAGUGUGUGUGUUAGUGGAAGCGUCUGGAAAGGCGCGCGAUACAGGGUGACAGCCCCGUACACAAAAAUGCACAUGCUGUGAGCUCGAUGAGUAGGGCGGGACACGUGGUAUCCUGUCUGAAUAUGGGGGGACCAUCCUCCAAGGCUAAAUACUCCUGACUGACCGAUAGUGAACCAGUACCGUGAGGGAAAGGCGAAAAGAACCCCGGCGAGGGGAGUGAAAAAGAACCUGAAACCGUGUACGUACAAGCAGUGGGAGCCUCUUUAUGGGGUGACUGCGUACCUUUUGUAUAAUGGGUCAGCGACUUAUAUUCUGUAGCAAGGUUAACCGAAUAGGGGAGCCGAAGGGAAACCGAGUCUUAACUGGGCGUUAAGUUGCAGGGUAUAGACCCGAAACCCGGUGAUCUAGCCAUGGGCAGGUUGAAGGUUGGGUAACACUAACUGGAGGACCGAACCGACUAAUGUUGAAAAAUUAGCGGAUGACUUGUGGCUGGGGGUGAAAGGCCAAUCAAACCGGGAGAUAGCUGGUUCUCCCCGAAAGCUAUUUAGGUAGCGCCUCGUGAAUUCAUCUCCGGGGGUAGAGCACUGUUUCGGCAAGGGGGUCAUCCCGACUUACCAACCCGAUGCAAACUGCGAAUACCGGAGAAUGUUAUCACGGGAGACACACGGCGGGUGCUAACGUCCGUCGUGAAGAGGGAAACAACCCAGACCGCCAGCUAAGGUCCCAAAGUCAUGGUUAAGUGGGAAACGAUGUGGGAAGGCCCAGACAGCCAGGAUGUUGGCUUAGAAGCAGCCAUCAUUUAAAGAAAGCGUAAUAGCUCACUGGUCGAGUCGGCCUGCGCGGAAGAUGUAACGGGGCUAAACCAUG